rnacentral:piRNA from 1 species
UAUUAUGGUUCCUGAAGUUAGUCUGCGA